UACAAAGACUCUUCUCUGCUCAACUGACCAGGAUGCUAUUAGGCCUCUGAAUAAGCAUUUGGUUUUUUGCAUAUUUCUAUGAAAAUCCACACUCCAUGAUAUUGUAUGUAAUUAUAUUUUCAAGAGAAAAAUACUUUCGUGUUCAGUCAACCAAACAAGAGUGGUUCAUUUCACUAGCAAUCGCAAAAGCAUAAUAGAAUUUUUCUCAGAGGUGCCCAUGUUUCUCCUGAUUCUAGGUCCUGGAAGGAAUAGCAAUCGUCAAUCUAUCAAGAAAACUGUCAGCACACCUUCCUUCAACUUGUGCUUCUCUUUGGAACUUUAAGGAAACAUCUCAGCCCCACAUUCCAUAAGGGUUUAAUCAUCUUCAGAAUAGUACAGAAGGUGCAGGUAGAGCAACUGAUGGCAGACGGUCUUUGGUUUGAGGGAUGAAAAUCUGCAAACUGACCAUUACUUAAACGUUCCUCGAUGGAUGACCAAGGAAUCGAUGGAUUCCAAAUCCACCACUUCUGAUCUUAGAAAGAAGGGAGGAUUUUCAGAUGGUAG